GACGAACGCUGGCGGCGUGCUUAACACAUGCAAGUCGAGCGAAAAGACGCGGCGUUUGUGGGGUGCUCGAGUGGCGAAGGGGGGAGUAACACGUGAGUAACCUGCCCUUGACUGUCGGAGAACAUCAGGGGACUGGGGCGCAUACCGGGUAGGAGCUCCUGCAGCGCGUGGUUGGUUGGAGAGUGUCGGCGGUGGGGGAUGGACUCGAGGCUUAUGCGCUGGUUGGUCGGGUAGUUGCUGUCAAAGGCUUUGACGGGUAGCCGGCCUGAGAGGGUGGACGGCCACAAUGGGCCUGAGAGACGGAGCAGACUCGUACGGGAGGCAGCAGUCGGGAACAUUGCACAAUGGGCGGAAGCCUGAGGCAGCAACCCCGCGUGCGGGAUGACGGCCUUCGGGUUGUAAACCGCUUUCGACUGUGACGAAGCGUGAGUGACGGUAAUGGGUAAAGAAGCAACGGCUAACUACGUG
rnacentral:rRNA from 1 species